UCAAACUCACUUUGAGCUCAUGUUGUCAGGCUGUGUGGCUAGCGUCUUUAUCUGCAGAGACACUGUACUGGCCAAAUUAUAUUAAAUAUUAAAAAAAUAGUGCAUGUACGUGUGUACAUGUGUGUGUGUGUGUGUGUGUGUGUGUGUGUGUGUGUGUGUGUGUGUGUGUAUGUUUGCACAUGCAUAUGUCUUUGUCCUCCAUAUGGGUUCUGGGGACUGAAUUCUGGUCAUCAGGCUUGGUGGCAAUCAUCUUUACUUGCUGAACCAUCUCUCUGGCCUACAUCAUUAUACUUAGGGAGGCAAUGACACAAUGUAAGAACUUUACAUUAUACUAGUCUUAUGCCUAAACCAUAUGGUGUGAUGGCUCCAUUUAAGCCCUCUGAACCCGGAGCCAACGGAGGCACAUUAGGAAACCUGUUGUAAAGCCCAUUGAAAUCUAAACAUGUGAACCAAUCCAGCAGUCCUCUCACAGAGAGGGCCUGAGCCUCAGACCUUCUGUGGAGAACGAGCACCAGGGUUCUAGGGCUGCUGCUGAGCCAGGCACAGUCAACAACAGUGGGUUGUUUCCAAAGCAGUGGUUUCCUUGUACAUUCACCAACUACCACCUGGUAAGUGACACUGAAUGGGACACAGACUACAGCUGUGUCAAAGGGUAUUUUAAUUGUUCAUGUGUUUCUUUUUCAUUGUUUAUAGUUACUACACCUCAGGAAUGUACAGUAGACAAGAUGCUGUAAAAGUACAAAAUGAAUAACUUUUCAGUGAAAAAAACCAUAAUACAAUAUAGCAUCAAUGCUGAAUAGCAUGAUUAUGUGCAAUACAUAAAUAUGAACUAUCUGUACACAUCUGCAAAUCUAACUUAGAACUAAGGUACAUAAAAUUGAAGCAAAACUCGUUUUAAUAAAGAAAACUAGGACUGAACACUGCAAUACAUCAGAAGUAGUGCCUUGUGUACAUACUUAACUAUUUACAGAUGAAAACAGGCAUUACCACAACACUAAUCUAACUAUACUCAUUUAUUUAUAAAAAACACAAGUUUCAUACAUCACAAAAAACCUUCCAUUAUAACACAGAAGUGAUAUUACCAGACAAGCAUCAGUGAAGUAUACCGCCUUUUCUAGUUGUUAUUGUACAAUGCUGUAGAUAAUGCAGCCCAUGCAAUACACCCAAGAACACUAGAGUCCUACACCCAAGUACAAUAUGAUAAAGCAGCCCUCUGCCAGUGGUGCUGGAUACCACUAAAGAAGUUUACUGCAGCCAUGUUGGUUAUGAUUUUCCAUGCAGAAGGGUACAGUUCCAUCAAGAACUGAAGUCUUUAAAAAGCUUUAAACAGGGCUGGUGAGAUGACUCAGCAGGUAAGAGCACCGACUGCUCUUCCGAAGGUCCUGAGUUCAAAUCCUGGCAACCACAUGGUAGCUCACAACCAUCCGUAAUGAGAUCUGACUCCUCUUCUGGAGUGUGUGAGGACAGCUACAGUGUACUUACAUAUAUGUACUUACUAAAUAAAUAAAUAUAUAUAUAUAUAUAUAUAAAUAAAUCUUAAAAAAAAAAAGCUUUAAACAUUCUUUCUUGAACCAAAACAUUCAACAAAAGAUGCACAUGAAAAAUUAACUGUUUAGAUACCUUUGCAACUUAAAAUUCAGAUGCAUGUUAUUUAACAGAGCUGCUAUAUGUGAAAACCAAAGAGUUUAAUUUCUCCUUGUAAACAAAUCCUAGUGCAGUUCUGUGCUACAAUUUAAGUAACGAGAAUGCAGAUAUCUUCUGGUGCAGGCCAGCACAAUAAGCUUCCAAGAUUAUCUCAGGCACCCUGCUGUUGACUUGAUGGUUUGACUUAGAACCAGUUGUGAUGUUACCUUUCGCAGAAUGUCCUAACUGACAGUUAUUAGAAGGCCAAUUUAACUAGGCUCACACAUGGUACCAAAUACCAGUUUUGUAGCUUUCUUCCUGCUUCCAAAAGUCAUGUUGAAAUUAAGGUGAAGUUUGACUAUGGUAGUAGACUGCCAGUCCUUUUCUGGUGUACCAUUUUUUUUUAAGUACGGGCACAUAACACUAGCCAAAGAUUAUACCUUGAUUACAUUCCCAAAAGGCAAAUAUGCUGCAAACAUGCAGAGAUUUCAUUCCUUUAGUUUGGCACAUGGAACUAAAUUUUGUUCCUAGAAUAUGUGUAUUUCAACUUCUUGUGCAUAUUUUUGUCCAAUUUUACUGAGGGGAGGGCAUAUACAUUUAUAGGGCUGUAUCUAUCCAAUUCUGCCUGCAACAAACACCCAAACAUCCUAAAAUAUCAAUUAUAUGACAGACAAGUAUAAAGCAAAACUCUGGAGAACAUCAAAGGAAAAUGGCCAUGCAUCUGUUCUUUAAUGUUUUCCUAUGAUAUAUUAAAAUAAAAACAACAUUUCUAGCAAGGUUGUGGCUUUAGAUAUUCAGGGAGACAAUGAAACACUAUACGAAUGAGAACACUCAACUUUGUCUUCAUCUCUAACUAACAUCCUAUGUGGUUUUCCAUCUCCAUUCCUCUCAUGUGAGGGGAUAAUAGCUACCUCUGUCUCAAGUGUGUCAAAAGUGUGUCCCAGAUAGUCCCACAUUUUCCCUCUCCUUUAAGUUUUCCCAUACAAUCUACAAACAUCUGGAGGUCUUCCCUUGAUAAGCCCUUUCCGUGGGUCCAACUGUCCUUUUUCCAAUUCGUAGCUGCUUCUCUCAGAUCUGUUCUGACCCACUAAUGCCCAGCCAGCCUUAGUCCUUAUUCCAGGAAAGUUGUUAGCAUUGGUUCCAAAUUGACCCUUGGGCUUCAUUUCUCUACUGGCUUUUAUUUCCUUAAUCCUUCUCUGCUUAGACCUUAGGCUGAUAACAUUCAUUGUCUUUCUUUCUUCUCAAGUCACUGAAAUGUCUUUUCCUUUCUACCCUCAUGCUUAUUUGCAGGUCUUUUUUCAACUUAGAAUUACUUCAUGAACACACAUGUUCCUGUUACCUAGUUGUAACUAUUUGUAGUGUGUAAUUUUAAAAGGCCACGCUAUCACCGUCUCAGGGCCAUGCUCUCAGCUAGGCUCGAAGAACAAGCUGCUACUGGUCCCACUCCGGACAUAGCUCCUUCAAAGCCAGCUGGUUCUUUCUCUAAACUCUGAAAGCUGGGAUCACUCCUCCAACCUCCCCCCCACCCCCAUGGCUAGCUCUGCCAAACCUCUAACAACCACCUUGCAGCUGUGCCCUUUCUCCUGCCCAUCUGGGUCACCAUGGAUGGAAAACACCAGGCAGCUUUUAUAUUUUAAAACUAGCCAGAUAACUCAAUGGCUGGGUGAAGAAUAUCUUGCCCCAUCCUCCUUAGCCUCCACAGUGGCCUGUGGAGGCUACAAACCAUGGCCCAGAGAGUUACAUGUCUGCUACUCCUAUCUGCUCCACAGCCUGGUCAGAAUCCCUCUCCCUCUCUCUCCUCCUCUUCCUCUUGGGACCUGGAAAUCCCACCUUAUCUUCGCCCAGCGAUUGGCUUCUGCCAUUUUUAUUGACCAGUUAAAAUGGGGAGAAGGUUCCCAUGGAACCACCAGAGUACAGAUCCACUCCUCUUUGAGGCGGCUGCUCCUGAGGAAGGAGAAUUAGCAUCAAAAUACAAACGACACCAGGGCCAUCCACAACAACUAUAAGUAUAAGCCCAAGUAAAUGACAGGUCUUCUCUCAUUCAUAAAUCAUUCAGUAGGUAUAUUCGGAGAAGAAAGGGUAUCCAGUAUGCAUACUCACAGUUUUCUAAAGCAUGUGAAUCAAAGGAGCAACAGGAAACAGAAGAUACAUGCCAAGCAGAACAAUUUCAGGAGGGUUUAUUUAAAAGUUUGCUGGUAUAGGAACCAAUAAGCUAUAGUACAAUCAAGUAAGGCUAGUGCCUGUUAGCUUAUGGCGGAGAUGUGCCAGUAUCUCUAUGGUAUGCUGACUUAGAAUCUUUUGUCUAUAUACUCAGGAGUGGUAGAGCUGGAUCAUGACAGUUCUAUUUUUAGUUGUCUUUUUUUUUUCCUUUUGAGGAACCUCUAGUAAAUCAUUCUUCAUAUUGCUUAAUAUUUAGUCAGCAAUUAGAAUUUUGCCAACUGUCUCAAAUAUAUGUCUUUUAUUUUAUGGCUGUUUUCUUUGGUUUGCCAAAUUCUAUGUGAUGGUUAAUUUUUUUAUGUCAACUUGGGAGGGAUCAAGGUUGCCCAGAUAUUGGCCAAAUGUCCUUGUGGAUGUUUCAGUGAGGGUGCUUUUGGAUUAAUCUGACACAUAUAUUGAUGAAAAUAGGUUGCCUUCUUAAUGUGGUUUGUGUUCAUCUACUGUGGAAUGUCUGGGUAGAGCAACAGGACAGAUCAUUCCCCUACAUAAGCGAGAUCUCCUGUCUAAGCAUUCUGAGAUGCAGGGUCCUCAGAGACUUCAUUCCAGGGCUGCUUCUUGCUUCUGCUAUGCCUUUCCUGCCACUAUUACACAACCCAGUGAUUCCUGGGCAUCAGCCACACUAUUGGGCAGAUUUCCUGCAGAAUCAAUAUGAAGAUGUACUUUCAUGUAGUAAUGCUGUGUAGAUGAAUUGAUGAUUUCAUAAUUCCUGAUAAUGAUUUUAUAGAAUUCCUAAAUUGAUAUAAGUAAUCUCAAACCCCCUAUAAAAUAAAUGUUGUAAAUAGUGCUCCGUAAACCUUCAUGUGUCACUGGCUAAUUGCACUAGGAAAAUAAAACAGGCUUGGAACAAAUUUACAAUCUAGGAAAACAUUCCUUCUAGGUUAGGAAUGAGGCCAUUAUCUGGUAACUAAAGGUCAUAAACUGGGAAUGGGCAAUUUAUUGUAAGUACAAGGACAGAAAAUAAAAUAUUGACUAGUUUAUCUAUACAAGACUUCAAAAUAAUAAGGCACAAGGCAGAUGAUGGUGGGUAGUAAACCAUGCCACCAGACACAAGAGUGGUAAGAUUGUAGCAAGUUCAGAACCCGGAUAUAUCUCAUAAUUGAGAAUGGCAAUAGUUUGAACUUGCUCCCAACUAAGUUCCUGUCCUGAAGCACGUGACCAUAAUACCCACCUAAGAGGACCAUGACAACCAGUCACAUAGCAUACAGCCUAGAGUUCUUCACGCUAAUGAGGUAUUAGAUAGGCCCCGAGUGUUUAUAGCCAAUGAAUGUCCCUUCCUGGGUAUCCCUUCCUGCAAAAGAUAUUUAAUCUCUGGAUUACCCUGAGUAAGAUGUAUGCAUCUUCAUCUGCAAUAAAUAAAACAGUUUGGAUACGCAAGGACUAUCUCCUUCAUCAGGAACCACUGAGGGGGGGGGAAGCCUUUGUCUUUCGGAGCCAUGCCUAAGUCUUCUGUAGAAGGCCGUUCUGUAAGUUCCCAACCCCUCGAGGUCCCCAGCCAGGUUGGGUGCACAGGAGUAUGAGAACCUCAGCCUCCAUCCUAGCCUGGGCUGGGAGCCCUAUCCUAGACUGCACACCCGUGGCAUUUCAACACCCCAGCGUGAGUCGGAAAUGCAGAAUGACCAUGAUUUGUUUCUUGAUAAUACUUUGCUAACUUAUGACAUAAGAAUUGUUGCUUUGGGCUGGAGAGAUGGCUCAACAGUUAAGAGCUCUGACUGUUCUUCCAGAGGUUCUGAGUUCAAUUCCCAGCAACCACAUGGUGGCUCACAACCAUCUGUAAUGGGAUCUGAUGCCCUCUUCGGGUUUGUCUGAAGAUAUCGACAGUGUACUCAUAUGAAUAAGAUAAAUAAAUCUUUAAAAAAAAUGUUGCUUUAAACUUAAAAUGAACAUAUGGAGCUAGUAACAGGUAAUGAAUGUUUACUCAUGUACUAGUCUUAAUGGAAAGACAUGUAAACAAUUCUGCUGUGACCCCUUAAGUCUUAUAGGAUUAUGACAUGAACUAUUGCAUUAAACUUACUAUGAACUUACAGAAUGUAAAGAUGCUUAGAAAACCACGUGAUCAAUUAUCCUGAGAUAGUAUAAAAACUAAGAACAAUAAAGCAGCGAUUUAGCCCUUCUCUGCUUGAUCUAGUAUGUGUGUGUUUAUGUGUGCGCCUGACUUUCACCUUUUCUUUCUUCCUUUCUUUUCUUUUCUCUCUGGUUCACAAAGAGUUAAGGAACUCUGGGCCUCUCACCUGGCCAGUUAGGGGGUCCCUGAGUCAAAAUGAAAAGAAACCAAGUAACUAAGUUUCUUUCCUCUUGCUGCUAUCAGCAGGAAUUAAUUGCCAGAAGCCAACAGCUUUUGAUCUCAGAAUAACAAAAAAAGAGUUAAACUGCCAAAAGGUUUUGACCUUGAUCACCAAUGCCACCUUGCUGCCUGCCUCAGUUUACCCUGUGAUGGUACCAUAUGUGCUUUCAACUCUUUCCAUGCCAUUACUUUAGUGUUUCAGCAAUGCCUCCAAAAUAAACAUGUAUUUGGAGAAAACAAAAUCAAAGCAGUAUCUGAAAAUAUUUUAGCUAUGGCUCCUAUUAACUAAAAAUAUAUACAUAAGGGGUUAUAAUGAGUUAACUAGCACAUUAGAUGCUGCAGAUACAAUGCUGAAGAAAAGACCAGUGCUAGUAGAUUAUCUGACAAUAACUGAAUAACAUAGUAUUACUGUAGAGCAAACAUUGGUGCUAUUAGUUGUGAAGUAUGGCUAGGUUUUAGGGUUCAAAGUUGAGCCUUGUAAAACAUUACAUUUGCUAGGUGUUGAGACAGUGUGAAAAGGGAUAGGACUAGGCAAAAGCUUGGACAUAGAGCCCAGCACUAGUUCGACUUUGGGACUGCAGUGAACCUAAGUAUAUGCUCCAGCCCUUCCUUCCUCUGGGCCGCCCCUAUGUGGCCUUGACAGAGGCUCUUGGGGAUGGCAAUAUAUAUUCAUCUUAUUGUAUGGAUUGGUAGUAUUUCCUAAGGACCAAGUUUGAAAAAAGAGCUGUGGCUUAUGCUACCCAAAGCUGAAGGAGAAUACAUUCUGCUUGCAAAGUCAGAACUGUAUCUCAUGAGGCAAAUAUUCCUUGUACAGUAGCCUCAGAGCCCUGAGCAUCCCCUAACCCAAAUCCUCACUGGUAUUGCAAUAAAAGAUAGGACACAGAACUCAUGGGACUUUUCCUGCCCCCCCCCCCCCGUACCGUAUUCCUGGGUCUUCUGUUUGAGGGCCUUUCAAACACUUGCACAUCUAAUGGGAAGACUGUCCUGAGCGUUUCCUGCCCCAUUAAUGUACACUUUUGAGGCUACUCUUGGGAAAGUGGUUUUGGCUCCUGCUAAAUUGUUUUGUUGGCUGGAGCUUGGGUCCUGAAUGCCAGCCAAUAAUCAGACUACUGACAUUUCCAGAAAAGCAAGGGUUAAACUCUGCUCACUUCACACACUGCCUCAAAUGCAGCAAGCAGUCUAGGGGGGAGUACCAUGAUUUCUAAAUUACAAAACUGAUGCUAGAUGUACUCAGCCAACUUCCUAAAGUAUCCAGCCUCACCACUGAACACACAUCAUAAGUGCAUAAGAAUUUACCUCUCCAAGACGAUUCCCUAACUCUUUGAGGAUAGAAAUAAGUCUUAAUUACAUUGUAUUUCCAGGAAUGAACAUGUACAUUGACUGACUGAAGGCCUGUGUCAGGUAAGACUAAAUAAUAUUAUCCAAUUCAAGAUAGCUGAAGGACUGGCGAGAUGGCUCAGCGGGUAAGAGCACUGAUUGCUCUUGUGAAGGUCCUGAGUUCAAAUCCCAGCAACCACAUGAUGAGAUCUGAUGCCCUCUUCAGGUGAGUCUGAAGACAGCUACAGUGUACUUACGCAUAAUAAUAAAUAAAUCUUAAAAAAAUAAAAAGAUAGAUGAAAAGAAAAAAGGAAGGAAGGAAGGAAGGAAGGAAGGAAGGAAGGAAGGAAGGAAGAAAACUCUGAACUGAAUAAACAAAACCCCUAGCAAAGUCCAGGGCUCAUGUCAUAUAAGGGGCCAUAAGGAGCUCACCUACAGGAUUUUUGCUCUCUUCAUUGCUCUGUGUGGCUCUGAGUCCAGAAGAAGUUAAUGAUGUGAAGUCCCUGGUUCAUGGUCCUGAUGCUCUUGGCUUGAUUCAUGUGCCUAACCUGAGGCUGGUCCAUUUGUCAGGACCAGAUCACCCCCCCCCCCCACACUCUUAAAAAUAUCGGUGAGGUAAUCAACUCCUCAGAGAACAGGGGACUGAGAUGCAUGUACAUGCAUGCAUGCCUGUAAAGGGUUGUGGGGCACAUAAACACUGGGCAGCCAAAGCAAUUCUAUUUUCAUUUCCAUUGCUGAGGUCUGUGUAUCUUUCCUUUAGUUUGGAUCUCUACGGCAUAUGGGUACUGGCUCACACUGGACUUGGUUAGUUGCAGGACAGGUCUUCCUGAGGUCAGGGUCACACUUCCUGUGUGGAGUCUUCCCCAGACUCCAUUUCUCCGGGUACUUUUUUUUUUUUUUUUUGAGCCGCUUGUUCCAUUCCUACUGUUUCCAGUAAGCUUCACAGUGCAUGCAAUGUCCUUUCAGACUCUUUGGCAACUAGUGAGUCAUGUAUACAAAGAACUAUUCAAAGCAAAAUGUGCUCAGUCUCUAAGAGAGUACUGAGAAGAUGUUUGUCAAGCAGAGAUAAAGGCCUACAACAUCUGCCUGGGAGCAUGAAAGCAGACAAGCCAUCCAGAGACUCUGAAGCACCAAGGACAAAGUCAAGUAUACCAUGGAUAUUGAUAACACCUGCGAGGAAACUGUAGCAGCUAGGUAGGUACCCACUGCAGCCCAGACCCCACACUUAGACCUUGAAUUCAGUGCAUCUUCACACUAUGCUUGCAACUAAGUAACACUGUUCCGGUUGUUUAAGUAAUUUGCUCAAGGUCACAUGGGGAGGAGGCAGAAAGCAACUGGGUUUCUAUCAUGAACAAUGGAAAGGUCUGGAACAGUGUUACAGCAAAGUUAGACUUGGAGCAGCUGUAUCUUUCCCCAUGGACUCAAAUAUUCUGAAAACAGAACCGCAGCUAGCUCACAUUUGGGCUCUAGCAUACCUGCAUUUAAGUACAUGUUAAAUAUAUACCCACCUCGAAUGGGCUAUCCUCACCGUAAACCAGUGUUUUAAAGGCAUCCAAUCACCUGGUUCAAACCCAGGUUAGGGUACAGACGGGAAGUCCUGGACCCACUUAAUGAGUGCUUUCUGUUCUGUAUGACUGGGCAAGUGACCAGGCUUCAAGCUGAAGGUUUCGCUAUGGUGAGAGACAAUCUAACACGCUCCACAAGGAUACAGAGGACAUUUAGUAACUGCAAAUAAGGUAUAUUAAAUUCUUAAAACAUUUAGGAGGGAAGGUGUCACAAGAAGCCAAAGGAUUUUUCUUAGUUUCACAAUUUCAGAACCCAAUGCAUUAGAACAAGACUGACACAGGUUCUAUUUAUAGAACAUCAAAAGGAUGGAAAACAGUUCAUCUGAUGGAUAUGCAUGUACGCAUACAUAUGAAAUGAGAAUGCCAGAGUAACUGUAAAGGACUCACAAGAGAAUUCUUUACAGGGAUAACUGUUCUUGGAGAAAAGGGCCUGGGCUCUGGGUCUCACGUUCACGGGAGGAGCUUGCCAUGUGUGACCAAGGGCAAGUCACAGCUUCUCUGAGACAAUUUUUUUCUCUCUAAAAUGGAGCUAAAUCUACUUCAAAGAGCUGUUGUGGAGAUUAAGUAAGAUCAUGCGUGUAAGCUUGGCCAUGCACCACAAAUCAGCGAUUAUCACACCACCUUUGUGGGAGAGUUCUUUCUACAAAGAAGAGCCAUUGUUUCUCCAGCUAGACCCCACUCACGAGGUCGGGGCGUGCAAGAAAGGUGCUUUAAACUGCCUGGAGUCAGGAGCUGCAGGAACCAAGCCGCAAGGCCCUUUCCAUUUCCUAACCUUCCCUUUGGGGAAAGCACAGCCCCGCGCGCGUUCGGCGGCUACGGUCACGGCCCCGUCGUGGGUCUUCCCGGUCGUGGCGGCAGGGCAGCGAGGGCUCGCGGCCCGGUUCCACACCCGGCGUCGCAUCAGCUCCCGCGGGCUCCGGCGGCCUUCCAGCCCGGCCUCCAGCCGGGAUUGGCGCGCGAGGCGAAGGGGGGUGGCGGGGGCGGGGGCAGAGAGAGGUUCCUCGUGCGCGCCUCCUCGGCGCAUUACGGUACCCUGGUUCCGCGCUCCAGCGGCCGGCCCAGCCUCGCGGUGGGGUCCGGAGAGCCGACGGGCGAGCGCGCGGGAGGGAGCGCGAACGGGAGCGCGAGGAGGAGGAGGCCGCCCAGCCCCGCGUCCAGCCCCGCGUCCAGCCCCGCGCCGCCGCAGCCAUGGCGGAGCGCCGCGCCUUCGCUCAGAAGAUCAGCAGAACUGUUGCUGCUGAAGUUAGAAAGCAGAUCUCCGGACAAUACAGUGGUUCCCCCCAGCUGCUCAAAAACCUCAACAUAGUUGGCAAUAUAUCCCACCACACCACAGUGCCCCUUACCGAAGCAGUCGAUCCUGUGGACUUGGAAGAUUACCUCGUCACUCACCCGUUGUCUGGGGAUUCCGGGCCUUUGCGGGAUUUGGUUGAAUUUCCUCCAGAUGAUAUUGAAGUUGUGUAUAGUCCUAGGGACUGCAGGACCCUUGUUUCAGCUGUGCCUGAAGAAAGUGAAAUGGACCCACAUGUUAGAGAUUGUAUAAGAAGUUACACAGAAGACUGGGCAGUUGUGGUCAGAAAAUACCAUAAACUGGGAACAGGAUUUAACCCCAACACAUUGGAUAAGCAGAAAGAAAGGCAAAAAGGACUGCCCAGACAAGUCUUUGAAUCUGAUGAAGCUCCCGAUGGCAGCAGCUACCAGGAUGAGCAAGAUGAUCUUAAAAGACGUUCGAUGUCAAUAGAUGAUACUCCAAGGGGUAGCUGGGCCUGCAGUAUCUUUGACUUAAAAAAUUCACUUCCUGAUGCCUUGCUUCCUAAUUUACUUGAUCGAACUCCAAAUGAAGAAAUAGACCAUCAGAAUGAUGACCAAAGGAAAUCAAACCGCCACAAGGAACUGUUUGCUUUGCAUCCAUCACCAGAUGAGGAAGAACCAAUCGAAAGGCUCAGUGUUCCUGAUGUGCCCAAAGAGCAUUUCGGACAAAGACUUCUUGUGAAAUGUUUAUCACUCAAGUUUGAGAUUGAAAUUGAGCCCAUUUUUGCAAGUUUGGCUUUAUAUGAUGUCAAGGAGAAGAAAAAGAUUUCCGAGAAUUUUUAUUUCGACCUUAAUUCAGAGCAGAUGAAGGGACUGUUACGACCGCAUGUGCCCCCUGCUGCCAUCACCACUCUGGCAAGAUCAGCCAUUUUUUCUAUAACUUAUCCUUCCCAAGAUGUCUUUCUUGUGAUAAAGUUAGAAAAAGUCCUUCAGCAAGGAGACAUUGGAGAGUGUGCAGAACCAUAUAUGAUUUUCAAAGAAGCUGAUGCCACCAAGAAUAAGGAAAAAUUGGAGAAAUUGAAAAGUCAAGCUGACCAAUUUUGCCAGAGACUUGGGAAAUACCGCAUGCCUUUUGCUUGGACUGCGAUUCAUUUAAUGAAUAUUGUUAGCAGUGCUGGCAGCUUAGAAAGAGACUCCACAGAAGUCGAGAUCAGUACUGGAGAACGGAAAGGUUCUUGGUCAGAGAGGAGGAAUUCUAGUCUUGUUGGCAGGCGGUCCCUGGAGAGGACGACCAGUGGGGAUGAUGCUUGCAACUUGACCAGCUUCCGGCCUGCCACCCUCACUGUGGCAAACUUUUUUAAGCAGGAAGGAGACCGUUUAAGUGAUGAGGACCUGUACAAGUUCCUCGCUGAUAUGAGAAGGCCGUCUUCUGUCUUACGGAGGCUGAGACCAAUUACAGCUCAGCUGAAGAUAGACAUUUCUCCUGCACCUGAAAAUCCCCAUUACUGCCUAACCCCAGAGCUGCUUCAGGUGAAGCUGUACCCCGACAGCCGAGUCAGGCCCACCAGAGAAAUUUUAGAAUUUCCUGCCAGGGAUGUCUAUGUUCCAAACACAACUUACAGAAAUCUUCUCUACAUUUACCCUCAAAGUCUUAAUUUUGCCAACCGUCAAGGUUCUGCCAGAAACAUCACAGUGAAAGUCCAGUUUAUGUAUGGGGAAGACCCGAGCAACGCAAUGCCGGUAAUCUUUGGUAAAUCUAGCUGUUCAGAAUUUUCAAAGGAAGCCUAUACAGCCGUAGUAUAUCAUAACAGGUCUCCUGAUUUUCACGAGGAAAUCAAAGUCAAGCUCCCCGCCACGCUAACUGACCACCACCACUUGCUCUUUACUUUUUAUCAUGUUAGUUGCCAGCAGAAACAAAACACUCCUCUCGAAACCCCAGUCGGAUAUACAUGGAUACCAAUGCUGCAGAAUGGACGGUUGAAGACAGGGCAGUUCUGCCUGCCAGUCUCCCUGGAAAAACCACCGCAGGCUUAUUCAGUGCUUUCCCCCGAGGUCCCUCUACCUGGUAUGAAGUGGGUGGACAACCACAAAGGAGUAUUUAAUGUUGAAGUUGUUGCUGUUUCAUCCAUUCAUACACAAGACCCUUAUCUAGACAAAUUCUUUGCUCUUGUCAAUGCUCUGGAUGAACACAUGUUCCCGGUCCGAAUUGGGGACAUGCGGAUCAUGGAAAACAACUUAGAGAGUGAACUGAAGAGCAGCAUUUCAGCCUUGAAUUCCUCACAGCUGGAACCCGUAGUCCGGUUUCUUCAUCUUCUGCUUGAUAAACUCAUACUUUUAGUUGUUAGACCACCUGUGAUUGCUGGCCAAAUAGUUAAUCUAGGGCAAGCAUCUUUUGAAGCUAUGGCGUCAAUUAUAAAUCGACUUCACAAAAACUUAGAAGGAAAUCAUGACCAGCAUGGCAGAAACAACCUUCUCGCAUCGUAUAUCUAUUAUGUGUUCCGCCUGCCAAAUACUUACCCUAAUUCACCGUCACCAGGUCCCGGGGGUUUGGGAGGAUCAGUGCAUUAUGCCACAAUGGCUAGGUCUGCAGUGAGACCUGCGAGCCUUAACUUAAAUCGGUCUCGAAGCCUUAGCAACAGUAACCCAGAUAUAUCUGGGACUCCCACAUCACCAGAUGAUGAAGUUCGGUCAAUCAUUGGCAGUAAGGGUUUAGAUCGCUCCAAUUCCUGGGUUAACACUGGUCCAAAAGCUGCCCCAUGGGGAUCCAACCCCAGUCCAAGUGCAGAAUCAACACAGGCUAUGGAUCGAAGUUGUAAUCGUAUGUCUUCGCACACAGAGACGUCAAGUUUCUUACAAACAUUAACGGGACGCUUACCAACUAAAAAGGGAAAGGAAGAUGAGUUAGAAAAGUUAUCACUCUUACUUUUUCACGAGGAGCUGGCUUUGCAGUGGGUCGUUUGCAGUGGCAGCGUUCGGGAGUCGGCUUUGCAGCAAGCCUGGUUCUUUUUUGAGUUGAUGGUAAAGAGCAUGGUGCACCACUUGUACUUUAAUGAUAAGCUCGACGCUCCGAGGAAAAGUCGCUUUCCAGAACGUUUUAUGGAUGAUAUUGCUGCCCUGGUUAGCACAAUUGCUGGCGAUGUCGUGUCGCGGUUUCAGAAGGAUACAGAAAUGGUUGAGAGACUCAACACAAGCCUUGCCUUCUUUCUCAAUGACCUGCUGUCAGUUAUGGACAGGGGGUUUGUUUUUAGCCUCAUAAAGUCCUGCUACAAACAGGUAUCAGCAAAGCUGUAUUCACUGCCAAAUCCAAGUGUCCUGGUGUCCCUGAGGUUGGACUUUUUGCGAAUCAUCUGCAGCCAUGAGCACUAUGUUACAUUAAACUUACCCUGCAGCUUGCUCACCCCGCCUGCAUCUCCAUCACCUUCUGUUUCUUCUGCAACAUCUCAGAGCUCUGGAUUCUCCACCAGUGUGCAGGACCAGAAGAUUGCAAACAUGUUCGAAUUGUCCUUACCCUUCCGCCAGCAGCAUUACCUGGCAGGCCUCGUGCUGACUGAGCUUGCACUCAUUCUAGACCCUGACGCUGAAGGACUGUUUGGAUUGCAUAAGAAAGUCAUCAAUAUGGUACACAACUUACUGUCCACUCACGACUCUGACCCACGGUACUCUGACCCUCAGAUAAAAGCUCGGGUGGCUAUGUUGUACCUACCUCUUAUUGGUAUUAUCAUGGAAACUGUACCUCAACUGUAUGAUUUUACAGAAUCACACAAUCAACGAGGAAGGCCAAUUUGUAUAGCCCCUGAUGACUAUGACAGUGAGAGUGGGAGCAUGAUAAGCCAGACGGUUGCCAUGGCAAUUGCAGGAACAUCCGUCCCUCAGCUGACAAGACCUGGCAGUUUUCUCCUCACGUCAACGAGUGGCCGGCAGCACACCACCUUCUCAGCAGAGUCAAGCAGGAGCCUUUUGAUCUGUCUGCUUUGGGUUCUCAAGAAUGCAGAUGAAACGGUUCUGCAGAAAUGGUUUACAGAUCUCUCAGUCCUCCAGCUGAACCGGUUGUUAGAUCUGCUUUACCUGUGUGUAUCUUGCUUUGAGUACAAAGGAAAAAAGGUAUUUGAACGAAUGAAUAGUUUAACUUUUAAGAAAUCAAAAGACAUGAGAGCCAAGCUUGAAGAAGCCAUUCUGGGGAGCAUCGGUGCCAGGCAGGAAAUGGUACGGCGGAGCCGAGGGCAGCUCGAGAGGAGCCCAUCUGGAAGCGCCUUUGGGAGCCAAGAAAACCUGCGGUGGAGAAAGGACAUGACUCACUGGCGUCAGAACUCAGAGAAACUCGAUAAGUCAAGAGCAGAGAUAGAACACGAAGCACUGAUUGAUGGAAACCUGGCUACUGAAGCAAACCUCAUCAUCUUAGACACGCUAGAGAUCAUCGUCCAGACUGUGUCUGUAACGGAAUCCAAAGAGAGUAUCCUGGGUGGUGUGCUAAAAGUGCUGCUACAGAGCAUGGCCUGCAACCAAAGUGCAGUCUAUCUGCAGCACUGCUUCGCCACGCAGAGAGCCCUGGUCUCAAAGUUUCCUGAGCUCUUGUUUGAGGAAGAGACAGAGCAGUGUGCGGAUCUGUGCCUCCGGCUUCUCCGUCAUUGCAGUAGCAGCAUCAGUACAAUCCGGUCGCACGCUAGUGCCUCCCUUUACCUCCUCAUGAGGCAGAACUUUGAGAUCGGGAAUAACUUUGCCAGAGUGAAAAUGCAAGUGACGAUGUCACUGUCCUCUUUGGUGGGUACGUCUCAGAAUUUUAAUGAAGAAUUCUUAAGACGCUCUCUAAAAACUAUUUUGACAUAUGCUGAAGAAGAUCUAGAAUUGAGGGAAACCACAUUUCCUGAUCAGGUCCAAGAUUUGGUCUUCAAUCUCCAUAUGAUCCUUUCUGACACUGUUAAGAUGAAGGAGCAUCAGGAAGACCCAGAAAUGCUGAUUGAUCUCAUGUACAGAAUCGCCAAGGGCUACCAGACGUCUCCAGACCUGCGCCUGACCUGGUUGCAGAACAUGGCUGGCAAGCACUCUGAACGAAGCAAUCAUGCCGAAGCUGCUCAGUGCCUGGUCCACUCCGCAGCCCUUGUCGCCGAGUAUCUGAGCAUGCUGGAAGAUCGGAAGUAUCUUCCUGUUGGAUGCGUAACAUUCCAGAAUAUUUCAUCUAAUGUAUUGGAAGAAUCUGCUGUCUCAGAUGAUGUGGUAUCUCCAGAUGAAGAAGGCAUUUGCUCUGGAAAGUACUUCACUGAAUCGGGACUGGUGGGCUUACUGGAACAAGCGGCUGCUUCCUUCUCCAUGGCGGGCAUGUACGAAGCAGUUAAUGAGGUUUACAAAGUACUCAUUCCUAUUCAUGAAGCUAAUCGGGAUGCAAAGAAGCUCUCCACAAUUCAUGGCAAACUUCAGGAGGCAUUCAGCAAAAUCGUCCAUCAGAGCACUGGCUGGGAGGUAGGUAAUGCUUUAGUUAGUUAAAGACACUAAUAGAUGGACUUGACCAGAUUUCUUAUGCCAAUGCUUUGCCCACAUGUGCUAGCUGUGGGCAUUCUGUUGCUGUCUGCUUAUCAACUGAAUUCAUUAACCAAAGAAAUGUUGUUAAACUACUGUAAGUUAUUUUAAGAGCUGUCUGAUAUGGAGGUCCUAGGCAGUGCAUGGAAACCGUUUCACUAAUGAGAUUCUUUGGUAAAUGAGCCACUGUGUUAGCACUCUGGUUUGUUUUUAUCCUUUGACGUGUUUCUGUCAUCAACACGUAGACACAGAUUUCUCUCCUAACCAUGUUCACUCACAGAGGUCGAUUUGUACGAUAUUGCUCAGAGGUAUAAAUAGAAAGCAUUGCACUUGUGUGCUGCUGUCAGGCAGAGAACAUACUAUCUUCUGUGCCUUUGUAUAAGAUAAAAAUCACCUGUGUAUUAGUGACAUCCCUUCAGUAAAGGUGGAUGCAGACCGUGGAGAUAACAAAAUACGGGUGGGAAGUGGGCACGCUGGAAUUGAUAAGUUGUGCUUAAUUUUGUCGUGAGUCACUUUGCCGUGGGUAGAGCCCUCACCCCAGGAAAGACAUUUAUUUUGGUCACUUAUAUAUAGAUGGGGGAGCAAGAUAGAGAUACUAAGAAAACUUAGCAUUUAAAAGUUUGACUUUAUAGUCUGAUGGCAUUUAUUCCUGUAUAAUGAAUACAUUUGCUUCCUUAUAUGUAGUAGUUAAAUUUGGAAAUGUUAAAUAUAAAAUCAGUCUUAUCUGAAAUUGAAUUUUUCAUCUUUCUGUAAAGGAGAAAAUUCUCUAAAUUACGCCCUAAUAUUGACUAGGGUCUUGAGUUAGGUGUGUGGCUCUGCCUCUCGACUCACACUGGCUGGAUACAGCAGGCUUCUCCGUUUGAUUCUUUGCAGUCCUCUCUUGUGGAGACCCAGAAAGAACACUUAGAGACAGAUGUCACCAAUAGAUGUCCUCCCAUUCUGAAAUAGUGCCUGCCUCUACUUAUCUUUACAUGAGCCGUCACAUUUACCUUCAUCCUCCAGAUUAAAUGUGCAUGACCUCAUUAAUACCUACAAUAUAAUCUAUUUCUGUGGCUUCGUUUAGAUAUAUGCAGAGGCUGGCCACAGCCAUCUCCAAGGGAUAAGGCUCCUCGUGGGUAUUCUAACAUGGAGCAAAGUUAGCUGAAAACUGGAUAUAAAAUUAAGAAUAUAUUAAAACCUCUGAGCAGUUUUUGACUAGUCAGCUUGAUGCUAAAUCGACCCCUGGGCGACGCCCUCUCCACUGGUUUUGACACUAACACCAUCCUCCCGUCAUGUGCUGCAUGGAGGUUGCAUAGACCUUGCUUCCCUGUUUGCAUCCUUGUCACUGCCUGUGCUGGGUCUUCAGCUUCAUAGCGUCUGAACUUGGUGCACGUGUGGUUUUUGCUGUACUUGUUAAACUUAAGUGGAUGCUUGCAUUUUAAAAAUGUGUUUGCUACCAUUUGCUGCUUAAAUGUUUUGAAAUUCCCCUAAUUAAAAUGCUUUCUGUUUUCUCUCUCUUGCCCCUGGUUGCUGACCUACUCCCUACUUUUACUAUUGUCUAUUGUGGAUGGUAAGCGGAUGUUUGGCACCUAUUUCCGUGUUGGUUUUUAUGGAACCAAGUUCGGGGAUUUGGAUGAACAGGAAUUUGUUUACAAGGAGCCUGCAAUAACCAAACUCGCAGAGAUUUCUCACAGAUUGGAGGGAUUUUAUGGAGAAAGAUUUGGAGAGGAUGUGCUUGAAGUAAUCAAGGACUCUAAUCCUGUAGACAAGUGCAAAUUAGAUCCAAACAAGGCAUAUAUUCAGAUUACCUACGUGGAGCCCUUCUUUGACACCUAUGAGAUGAAGGACAGAAUCACUUAUUUUGACAAAAAUUAUAAUCUCCGGCGUUUCAUGUACUGCACACCCUUCACUUUAGAUGGCCGUGCUCAUGGGGAGCUUCAUGAACAAUUCAAACGGAAGACCAUUCUGACAACGUCUCAUGCCUUUCCUUACAUUAAAACAAGAGUCAAUGUCACUCACAAAGAAGAGAUAAUCUUAACACCAAUUGAAGUUGCUAUCGAAGACAUGCAGAAAAAGACUCAGGAAUUGGCAUUUGCAACACAUCAGGAUCCAGCAGACCCCAAAAUGCUUCAAAUGGUCCUCCAGGGGUCUGUAGGAACAACUGUAAACCAGGGACCUCUGGAGGUUGCCCAGGUCUUCCUGUCUGAAAUACCUGGUGACCCGAAGCUCUUCAGACAUCACAACAAGCUGCGCCUUUGUUUCAAGGACUUUACUAAAAGGUGUGAGGAUGCCUUACGAAAAAAUAAGAGCUUAAUUGGACCAGAUCAAAAGGAGUAUCAAAGAGAACUGGAGAGAAAUUACCAUCGCCUUAAAGAGGCUCUGCAGCCACUGAUAAACAGAAAAAUCCCUCAGCUAUACAAGGCUGUGUUGCCUGUCACUUGCCACAGAGAUUCCUUCAGCCGAAUGAGCCUUCGAAAAAUGGAACUCUAAAAUACACACUUGUUCUAUUCAUUUGAAAAGAACCAUGUAUUCAACACUGAGUGUGAGGUCUAUUGAAAAAUAGGACUUGGAUGUCAUUCUGGAAGCAAUAGUAUUGAUUUACUCUCUGAAGAAUGUGCUCCCAGAUGCAGGCUGUUACGUGUGAGGCUUGUGGCGUGGUUUCUAACCUUCUGGUAACAUGCUGUCAUCUUAAAAACAAAAGGUUUUAAUGAUUCAAAGGUACAGUACACAUUUACAAUUAUUUAUACCAUAGCUAAUGUUAAAUUUAUUUACUUUUAAGUUCUUGUUUUUUAAUUUAUAUUACCAUUUAUAGGUCCAUUCAUUUUUUGAACCAUUUUAAAUGUAGUAAUGCUUAUUUUAAAGGUACUAUUAAAUAUGUGAAUGUUUACACUAA